ACAGUACAGUACUGCAGUUCAUAAUGCAUUCUGGGUAAAUUUGUUUGAGCGGGAAAAUUUUACAGUAUAUUUUGGUCUUGAUGUAACCUUGCUGUAGCCAUUGCUGUAAUGUGCCAGGUGUACUUGCAAUAAUCAGAGAAAGUGCGCCAACGUCAAAUCACACAGAGGGAGAGAGAGCACAACUCCUGGCUGCAGCUGAAGGAGGACGAUUGAUUUCUGGCAGUUCGGUAAGUUUGAAAUAUUUCUGUUUCAUGAAAACUUAAUUUUUAGUUUAAGAAUGUUGUCAAUAGUUUGUCACAAUAUUGUUUUAAACGUGCAAUGAGAGAGAAAAACGGUCGCCAACAAAGUUUCAAUCUCCCUCAGAAAGUAAGCUCACGUUACACACAGAUGUCUACCGCUGCUUUAACUCGCUUUACACCUUUUUUUUAAUGAAUAUAGGGUUGUUUUAACUAAAUUAUGAGGGUUUUGGUGAGUUUAUAUUGUGUUGAAAGUGUGGUGACAAUGAAACUAUUUUUAACGAAAUGGACAAAGACAACCCGCCAGCGCGGUCUUGCGGUCCCAGCAUAAUGGUCGUUUAUCUCGGCGUUUCAUCCGUUCAGUUAGCGUCAGAGAAAAGUAUUAAGUUAGACUGUUUGGCAAGGCUGACUCGUGGUUGUAAACAGUCAGGACUUGUCACACCGUACACAGCAUACUGUAGUACUGAACUCCUCCACAGAAGUGAAAACAAGAAACCUCAUAACUGGAUACAUGCAUCGAACUCAUCGCAGCUUUAACUUCUACCAAAUAUCAUUCAGACCUGGGCUCAUCUUAAUAUCAGAUGAACGAAAGGGAUUGCCGCGCGUAUUGUUGUUGUUAUUAUAUUACGGUAUAUCAUCAAAAGCAGAGAAUAUCUUCUCUAAAGCGUUUUACACGUCCAUCUUACCAUUGCUUGUAAGCUGGAUUGGGUAAGAUGGAUCAUCUUUAAAGGCACCAGGAGUUAAGGCAGAUGUGGAGGCACAACGGGUGAUACCAGACACACACCAAGCACAUUAUGUUUGGACAUUCAAUCAUGACAUGAUCCAGGUGGAUGCUGUCCAUUGAGGAAAGAGUUUGUUCAGCGGUUUCUGGAUAGAAUUAAUUCCAAAGAUGGGAAAAAGUGCACAUCCAGACAAGGAGCAAGCAAAAAGACAAGGAACUUGGUGCAGAGAAAAGCUGUGGCCAUUAACCCCUGUGAACAGCUUCAUGCAGUCGCUGAUUGAGUUCGAAUGGACGACUUCAGUAAAGGCCACUGUGGUCUGUCUGCCACAGUUUAAUUUUUAAUUUAUUUUUAGUGUUCAAUGAAAUUCAAGUAGAAUAUUUAAAACUAUGGGCCAGUGUUGUUUUUACCACGGUGAAAUGUUACCUUUUAGUCGAUGAUGGACUUUAAACUGAAAACUUCAAACUAUGGAACAGUGUUCUAUUUGCCAGAGUUAAAUAUGUUACAGCAGGGGUCUCCAAACUUGUUUAUACUUGUUGAUUUUAUUUUAUGUUACUUGAUUAUAUGUUUAUUAUUGUUUAAAAUCUUGUUUUAAAUAUGUUUGUUUCAAUUAAAUGUUUUUUUUAAUAAAAUUUUGAUACAAACAUUGCUUGGAUUGCCUUUUAAUUCAUUAUGUUUUAAUUUAGCAUUUUUACCAUAUUAAUAACUAUAGAUUUAAACCUAAAUCUCUAGCUAUUUUAUAUAAUAUUAUUGUAUUAACUGUAAUAAGUAAUAAAUAGUAUUUAUGGGUCAAUAUAGACAUUACAGUAAAUUACUGUAAAAAUAGACUACUGUAAUAAAAUAUUGUAAAAUUACAGUACAGUACUGCUUUGUAACUAUACAGUACUAGUUUGUGUACUGUAAAAUGGUAUUACAGUACAGUACUGUAAAACCAAAAUACAGUAACUUACUGGCAACCGUGCUGCCAGUACCGUACUGUAAAAA